rnacentral:rRNA from 1 species
GUGGGGAAUCUUGCGCAAUGGGCGAAAGCCUGACGCAGCCAUGCCGCGUGAAUGAUGAAGGUCUUAGGAUUGUAAAAUUCUUUCACCGGGGACGAUAAUGACGGUACCCGGAGAAGAAGCUCCGGCUAACUUCGUGCCAGCAGCCGCGGUAAUACGAAGGGGGCUAGCGUUGCACGGAAUUACUGGGCGUAAAGGGCGCGUAGGCGGACAGCUUAGUCAGAGGUGAAAGCCCAGGGGUCAACCUUGGAAUUGCCUUUGAUACUGGCUGUCUUGAGUUUGGGAGAAGUGAGUGGAACUCCGAGUGUAGAGGUGAAAUUCGUAGAUAUUCGGAAGAACACCAGUGGCGAAGGCGACUCACUGGCCCAAUACUGACGCUGAGGCGCGAAAGCGUGGGGAGCAAACAGGAUUAGAUACCCGGGUAGUCC